rnacentral:rRNA from 1 species
CCUACGGGAGGCAGCAGUGGGGAAUAUUGGGCAAUGGAGGAAACUCUGACCCAGCAACGCCGCGUGAAUGAUGAAGGUCUUCGGAUUGUAAAGUUCUUUUCUAAGGGAAGAAGAAAGUGACGGUACCUUAGUAAUAAGCCUCGGCUAACUACGUGCCAGCAGCCGCGGUAAUACGUAGGAGGCGAGCGUUAUCCGGAAUGACUGGGCGUACAGGGUGCGUAGGUGGUUUGGCAAGUUAGUAGCGUAACUCCAAGGCUCAACCUUGGAACUACUACUAAAACUGGUGGACUUGAGUGCAGGAGGGGCAACAGGAAGUCCUAGUGUAGCGGUGGAAUGCGUAGAUAUUAGGAGGAACACCAGUUGCGAAGGCGGGUUGCUAGACUGUAACUGACACUGAGGCACGAAAGCGUGGGGAGCAAACAGGAUUAGAUACCCCAGUAGUC